rnacentral:lncRNA from 1 species
UUUUUUUUUUUUUUUUUUUUAGAGAUGGGAUCUCACUAUAUUGCUCAGGCUGGUCUCAAACUCCUGGCCUCCGAAAGUACUGGGAUUACAGGUGUGAGGCCACCUGGCCUGUUUCUCUCUUAUCUUCCAUUCCCUUCUACGUCUCUUCCUAAUACAUUCUCCUACAAUCCCAGAGCCCAGAGGAGCUGAGAGGCAGGGUAGCUUCACAAGUCCAGUGGGUAUUUGUCGGGGUCAUCUCUUCCCACUUCUGCUCACAACACCUUAGUCAUCCUGAGAAAUACUGAGAUCUCUCUCCUACUCUCAGACUACCAUUUUCAGGCGGUGAUAACUUUAUUCACAGCUCCAGCAAGGGGCAUGUGACUACCUGGCCAAUCAGAGCACCCCAUUUCCCCACAUCCCCUGCCUCGGCUCAGUGAUUGGUUUAGUUAUGGGGAGGUCCUCCAAUCAGAGAUGGGACUACCGGGAGAUAAGCAGAAGCUUUUCUGCGGGGCUGGAGUCGUGAGGCUGCAAGCCUGGCUCUCCCAGAGCAUGGUGCAGAAGGGAUCCAUGUCCCGGACAAGCACAUCCUCCGGGCUUUGUCAGCACCUCAUCCCACAGGGUGGGAGGCAGUUGAAGGAAGCCAGGGAACCUGACUGUCCAGUUCCAAACAAGGUCCUUCACCAGGGUUCCACUUGAUGAAUAUUUGUACAAACAUUCUUAAAAAGACAUGCCUCCUCAGCAUUAAAUAUAUAUAGUUUAGGAAUGACGGGAGUGGCCUCUGAAGUCAAGCAGAACUGGUUUCCACUACUCCCGCUUCUGCCAUCACAGGCUCUGUGAAUUCGGGCAAGUCACUUUAUGUCUUAGAGCCUCAGUUUUCUCAUCAGCAAAUAAGGGUAGCAUUUUUGUCAUAGGUUGUUGUGAGAAUGUAAUGAGGUCAUGAAAGUAAUGUGCUUUACCACAAUACGUGGUACUUAGUAAACAUUUUAAAAUACAUUAUUAGCUAAGAAAGAAAAGAAAUAGAGAAGAGGAGAGGAGAGAGAAAGACAGAGAGAGAGAGAUCAAAAGCAGAUAUCCAGGUUCUAGUAGAGUACGAAUCUUCCACAGGCUUUGGGUGAAUGCUGUAGUACGUAGGAGAAUGUGGAGUCAGUUUAUUCUAGCAUUUAGAAAGAAAAGGGAUUGGGAGAUGGGGGACAGUGAUGACAGAAAUACAGAACUUUAAGAAAUGGCUUAAGACCCAGUCUUGAAAGAGCUGCCACUCCUUGACAGUAGCCAUUUUACGCUUGACUGUCAGCUUUGACAAGCUGGAAGCGGCCAGUCUUUGCAGCCAGGCAGACAGUGUUGCUAUCAUAUUAUCAUGCUAUAAAUUAGCAUUUCAACAUGAAACCGGUAUUGAAAUGCAACUCAAAUCAAUUCUGCGACUCCCUCUUCAGCCUUGCCUUGCAGUGACUGCCCUCUGAUUCUUAUUGAGCGACCAAUGAACCCGACUGGCCUACACUCCAUUUUUGUUGUCAGCAGGAGAAAAAAAUAGGGAGGAUUCUGUUGAUGCCCAAAUAAUAACUCAAAACAACGGUAUUGCUUUGUGCCAGUGCCUGGUUUUUUGUUGUUGCCGCUGUUGUUUUAUUCUUGGUCAUUAUUAUUGGCUUCUAUAGCAGACUCAAACGGUGUUUGAAAUCUCACCCCCUUUUAUUUCUCCUCUGCUUUGAAGGGAACCGCUAUGCACAGCCCACCAGUGGGAGACCCCCUCCUUCCCCUAUCAUUUUAUGCUACAUUACAACAGAAGUUGCAUGACUCCAAAGGAUGUUUUGACUUUAAAGUUCUUGUGAUCUAUUUGUGCAAUACACAUGUUAAAUUAGAAAUUCAUUUGUCACUCCCAGAUAAUAAUGUUCAGAAUGGCGCUUCCUGCAUGAAUCAUUAUCUUCGGCCCGGAGUUGUUCUAAUUAUGAAUAUGCAUGAACCCAUAGAGGGGGGAAGAGAGAUUUGCACAACCUGUUUUGUGGAGAAGCUUCAGAUGGUUCGGCUUAAUGUUCUGAGUUUGGGCUUCCAGAGCCAAGCCCAGCGUCUGCCUCACCACCCACAGCGCCUCCAGUCUUCCCAGAACACCUGCUUUCCGUUGACAGCAAGUGCCUUAUGACAGCAGGGAGCCCACUCAGUCAGAGACAAGCCACUGCUUGUCCAUUCAUGAGAUGUAAGGUAGACUCCGGGAUGUAGGAGAGGGUCAGGAGGCAGUGGAAAUGGAAGUGGCCUCACAGUGUCCUUCAGAAAUUCCAGCUGGAGAACUGAGAAACCAUGUGGAGAUGCCUGCUGGCUCUGCCUUCAGGAAGCAAGAAUUAGAAUAAGUAGUCUAAAGAGUGAUUAAUUUCAAAGAGACAAAUGUGUAAGUUGGCUGUGGUUAUGGUGAGAGAAGAAGGCUAUCCCCCUAUGAGUGGGUGAAUGUCAAAGGAAAGGUGGGAAUGUGUCGCUGUAACCAGAGCUUCCUUGGAGUUCCAUGACAGCUUGGCCACACCUGGAUGAUGUCAUGGCCUUAGGUCCCUUUUACCAAAUGUAGGGUCCAGUCUGUAAGGCAGAAUUUGUUUCCUGCUAUAAAGAAUGAUUCUUCAGAAUAUCUCAUUCUCUUUGGAUGGGUUUCAUAUUAGAUCAAGGGAUCUAGAUGCUAACGCUCUCCUGUAGCCCUCUGCCACAAGAUCAUAUUUGUUUAUCAGGUACUCUGAUCCAGGCACAGUGCCAGAUAUAAUUACUCAAAGAUGAUGAUGUUCUUACAAUAUAUGAAUGCCUCCCCUCCCCAAUCAGAGAAUCUAUUGCUUUGGGAAGGAUUAGGAUAGUUACAGCAGAAACACAAAGAGAAUGGAGCAAUGUCCACCUUUUGAUUUCCAAAAUAGUCUGUCAGUGUCAUCAUGAGACAAUAGUCCACGCUUUCUUGAGAGAGAAAGGUAUACCUCUAAAUUCUAAAGCAACCCUUAGAGUUCUGAGCAUAGCAACUUCUACAAGGUGUAUGUAGGAUAGAGAUGAUACAGAAGAAGGAGAUAGGUCCUACCUGUUACAAAGAAGAUAAGUAGUUCCAACCCUGGGUAAGGGGUGGGAGUCCAAAGGGAGAAAACAACAGGAGAAAGAAAUUUUGAGGCUGGGUACAGUGGCUGUCGCUUGUAAUCCCAGGACUUUCGGGGCUGAGGCGGGCAGAUCACCUGAGGUCAGGAGUUCAAGAACAGCCUAGCCAACAUGGCGAAACCCCGUCUCUACUGAAAAUACAAAAAAAUUAGCUGGGCGUGGUGGCACGUGCCAGUAGUCCCAGCUACUCAGGAGGCUGAGGCACAAGAAUUGCUUGAACCUAGGAGGCGGAGGUUGCAGUGAGCCAAGAUCACGCCAUUGCACUCCAGCCUGGGUGACAGAGUAAGACUCCAAUUAAAAAAAAACAAAAAUGACAUUUUGAGAAAGCAAGAUGAAGAUACUGCCGGGUCCCUCAAACUGAAGUUGGAAACCCCAAAUGGUAUGACAGGAAGCUGGAAUCCAAAAAGAAACUCCUUGCAACAUUCCCCAAGCUGGUAUGGAAUGGCACUGGUCAGACAGCCAUGGCUGAGGGACCUCACUGAGUCCCACCUGCUACAGCCUGGUACAGAAAGCCAGGGAUGUCACAUACAGUCACACAGGAUAUGUCCUGUACAACCCUGGACUCCACCACAAAGACCAAAGGCCAGCAAAUUUUUCUGCAAAGGGCCAGAUAGUAAAUAUUUUAGCCAUGCAGGCUAUAUAACCUUUGUCACCACGAUCCACUCUGCCACUGUACUGCAAAAGCAGUCAUAGACAAUAUGUAACUGAGUGGGUGUAGUUCUGUUCCAAUAAAACUUUAUUUACAAAAUCAUGAGACAAGCAACAUUUGGGCCAAUGUUUGCCAACCCCAGACAUACAUUAGGAUGUUAUGGUGUCUCCCCAACAUAGCCAUCCUGCAGAAACACCUAACAAGAUUCCCUGCCUCCUUGCUUUUAGAGGGGCUCAGAAUUUCUGAGAGAAUUGAUAGAGCAGAAGAGGCCUGGCUUAGGGUGAGGAGAUCACAGAGUGAGGCAACCUUAGGACCAGAGCCAAUGGCAGAGAUCUAUAAUGUCAGUAGGGGCUGUCAGUAACAUGCUCAAAAAAUAUCAGGAAGGAGCAGUUUCUCUGCAGUGGACACCAGUGCAGGACACUCAGGGUCAAGUUGACACUCAGAAUUCUGCAGCAGAGGCCAGAAAGGACGAUGUCCAGCACACGGACAGAAACAAACUGUUUUACGAGCUCAGAUGUCACCUUCAAGACACAAAGGAGAAAGAGACCUAGAGAAGGGAAAUAAUCCUGGGAAAGAAUUCAUUUGAUUCUUUGCCAAGACUGAAUUUACGAUGGAAAAAAUUAUGUAAAACCAGUUUCUCUUGUAUGUCUGUCCCAGGCAUCAGCAGGAAUGGAAACUUAGGGCAAGACAAGAUCCGUGAUGGAAAAUUAAAGAAGUCACACAGACCCCUGGUUCAUCUGACGUCUAGUGAGGAUAUUCCAAAUCUCCUACAUGUCGGGGCUAGUCUAGGGCUUCAAGGGAUCCCAGUGCAGUGCAUUCCUGCCAGGAAAGGCUGGAAUUCUGGCCUGUUUGUGCAAGGCCAAUGCUUUUUUAUAAAAAGUUUUUAUUGUGGUAAAAAUAUCCCACAAGCUGUACCACAUCCUACAAGCUGUAGGAUAGAGAUGAUAUAGAAGAAGGAUAUAGGUCCUCUCUUUUUCCUGUGGGAGGCCACAGGGGAAAACCAGAAGGGAGAGGAAAAAAAACAUAUAAAAUAUAGUUUACCAGCAUAACCAUUGAAGUGUAUGGUUUAGUAGUAUUAAAUACCUUAAUAGGCUGGGCGUGGUGACUCAGGCCUGUAAUCCCAGAACUUUGGGAGGCCAAGGCUUGAGCCCAGGAGUUCAAGACCAGCCUGGUCAACAUGGCGAAACCCCAUCACUACUAAAAAUACAACAAUUAUCCAGGCAUGGUGGUGCAUGCCUGUAAUCCCAGCUACAAGGAAGGGGCGGUGAGGUGGGAGGAUCGCUGGAGCCUGAGAGGUUGAGGCUGCAGUGAGCCGAGAUUGCACCACUGACUCCAGCCUGGGAGACAGAGCAAGGCCCUGUCUCAAAAAAUAAAAAAAAGAAAAAAAAAA